rnacentral:rRNA from 1 species
CCUACGGGAGACAGCAGUGAGGAAUAUUGGUCAAUGGCCGGAAGGCUGAACCAGCCAUGCCGCGUGAAGGUCAGUGCCCUAUGGGCGUUAAACUUCUUUUGUGCGGGAGCAAUAAUGGUCACGUGUGGCCAGACGAGAGCACCGUACGAAUAAGCAUCGGCUAACUCAGUGCCAGCAGCCGCGGGAAUACGGGGGAUGCAAGCGUUAUCCGGAUUUAUUGGGUUGAAAGGGUGCGUAGGCUGUGAGGUAAGGCAGCGGUGAAAUGCCCCGGGUCAACGGGGUGAAGUGCCAUUGAUACUGGCUUGCUGGAGUGCGGAUGCCGUGGGAGGAAU